UACGUAGGGUCCGAGCGUUGUCCGGAAUUAUUGGGCGUAAAGGGCUCGUAGGCGGUUUGUCACGUCGGGAGUGAAAACUCAGGGCUCAACCCUGAGCGUGCUUCCGAUACGGGCAGACUAGAGGUAUGCAGGGGAGAACGGAAUUCCUGGUGUAGCGGUGGAAUGCGCAGAUAUCAGGAGGAACACCGGUGGCGAAGGCGGGUCUCUGGGUAGUAACUGACGCUGAGGAACGAAAGCGUGGGUAGCGAACAGG
rnacentral:rRNA from 1 species